UAUUUUUUUUAACAACCAACACGCUCACAUUUAUAACCAAUCACAAGACUUGUUGUGUCAACGUCUCUAUUGGUUUAGUGCUACCGUGACAUCGGUACGCUUCAGGAAGUUUUUGAUAUAAAUCCAGACUGGUUUGAAGAAGAAAUGUAUCUAGAGUUGCCAAACAAGACCAGAAUGAAAAUGAACAGGAGGAAAAACGUUUCAAGACGGUAGACGAAUCCGAACUGGAAUCCAAAAGUACAAGUACCACGACAACAACUGUACGGGGUGUUAAACAUUUUAAGGAAUGGCUCCUGGCCAACGGUGAGACGGAGGAUUUCGAAACUCUAUCUCCAGACACACUGAAUACAUUCCUAAACCGUUUCUAUGCUGAAGUCCGGAACACAGAUGGGAACUACUAGUCAAAGUCAUCCUACAUUGGACUUGGCAGCAAUUCACAGACGUCUCCGCCAGCCUCCAUAUGAAAGGAGCAUUAACAUUCUACAAGAUAAUGACUUUCACACCGCUAAUAAUGUCUUUAUUGCCAUAUUAAAAAAUAAAGAAUAUAGGUCUUGAUAUUCCAGCACAACAUGAAGCCAUUUCUCAGGGGGAUCUGCUUAAGAUCCGCGAACAACAAAAACUAGAUGAUGCCACUCAACUUCAGCAAAACGUUUGGUUUGAUCUUACUCUGGGUUUUAGUCGUAGGGGAUGUGAGAAUCAGCGACAUUUAUCCAUCUGUUCUUUUGUCGUUGAAACUGAUGAUGCUGGGUGUCAAUAUAUUAGAAUGACCCACAGUGAAGCUACAAAAAACACCCUGGUGGAAUUGGUAACACAAAAAAAGGCAAAACACGCAUGUAUGCCACUGGUACUCCCUCAUGCCCUGUCCUGUCCUUUCGUAAAUACGUCUCCAAGUUAAAACCCUGAAACCAAGCUUUUUACCAACAACCCUCAAAACAAGUUACUGAAAGUGACGAUGUCUGGUACACAGCAAACCCAUUAGAACACAGCACACUAAGCUCAGUGUUGAAACGAAUUAAAAAAAAAGACUGGUCUCAGUAAAGAGUACACAAAUCACUGUGUUAGGUCGACAACCGUUACUCUCUUGUCACAGGCCGGUGUGGAAGCUAGAGAAAUAGUAAAACUCACUGGCCACAAAAAUUUACAAAGUUUAUUCUUUUACAAUACUGAAUCUUCCACCGCACAAAAGCGUCACUAUUCUGCUAUUUUACAAAAUGAUGCGCGCAACACAUUUACGACAGCCUAAGCUUCAGUUUCCAAACCUUUGAAUAUCUCACAAAAUAUAAGGGCUGGGAUGUCUCGAUUUGUUUUUCAAAUUGAGGACAGUAAUGUUGUGAUAAAUAAUAAUUUUUAGAAACGUUGCAGCUUGGUCGACUUUUUGGAGGGGUGUGGGGGUGAUUUAUUAAAUUUCAAACAAACGUGUUAUUUAUUCUUGUUUAUGAAUUUUUCUUUACAUCUGUUAAUAAAAUAGACAAGAUUAAAUAUUUGUUCCAAGUUCUACGGUCGUACGUAUUUAUUUAUUAUGUUUUUAUACUCUCAACAGGUGUUGACAUUUCAACAUUAUCCACAUAAACAAAGUGGAACUAUCCUGCCUGUUCACUCCUAUCCACUCCACGUAUUAAAAUAGUUCUAACUUUGAAUA
rnacentral:lncRNA from 1 species